rnacentral:lncRNA from 1 species
AAUGAAAUUAGAUAAAAGAGAAGUUACGGAUGAAAUUGGCACGGUUUAAUGUUCGAAUCAGUGUGAUUUACUUACAAGUUCGAACCAUAUCGUUGUAAGGCUAUUAGUACCGUUACGUCAUAGAAAAACAAAUGCGUUACUGUCUGAUUACUCCGAUCAAGGGAAGUUUAGUUAUGAUUCUUCGCCGGGACUUCAAGGAAGCCUUUCGUCACUCUUCAAUACAUCCAUCCAGCGAGCACUAAAUAUAUGGAGAAUUCACGAAUUUUCUGGAAACACAUUAUGGCCAUGGGUAGUGAUUUGAUUAAUUAUUGGGCCAAACAACAUCAUAUUUGGGAAUCUAUCCGAUGUAUCAUGAGAAACGUUCGUUUGCCAAGAAGAAUCCCUCUUUUUGUCUCCUAGUCUCAGUUUUCCUGUUUCUUCAGAAAGAGUUCCAAGGUGGGUUUCGAAUGACUCAUCAUUUUCACUUAGAUGCUAGUGUAAAAGAAGUGUAAUCCUCAGAAUAGGUUUCCUUAGUGACUAAGGAACGAUUAAUGAAGAAAGUGAAAAGUUUUUUCUGGGGGGAUUGGACGAACGAAAAAAUCAUUUAUAUUGUGAAUAAUUAUUUUCUUGCUCCUAAAUAUAAGUACUAAGUUAA